GAGGCAGAUUUUUUUUUGUUUUCCUGUUCUACAUUUACUUGGCUGAGACUGUUCCUAUUGUUACUUAUCUAAGUUUUACAAUUUAUUCAAUUUUUAGCUUGAGAAGCUGAGUGACAUACAGUGCCAACCUGAGUCACAGCUAAAGUUCAUAACAGAGGCCUGGCUUCAGAUCGUUGAGUGCAGGCGUGUUUUGAAAUGGACAUAUGCUUAUGGAUAUUAUUUACCAGAGCAUGAACAUGCCAAGAGACAGUUCUUUGAGUACUUGCAAGGUGAGGCAGAGUCUAGGUUGGAAAGACUUCAUCAAUGUGCAGAAAAGGAGCUACAUGUUUACCUUAAUGCAGAGGGCCAAUCAAAAGACUUCAAUGAGUUUCGCACAAAACUUGCUGGACUGACCAGGUAGUUGCCAAACCAAAAAUUUACUUGGCUUU